AAAAAAAAAAAAAUACAUGUACAUGUAGAAAAAAGACUGGAAGGUGAUACAUGAAAAUGUCAAUACGAUCUCAGUCUUUACCUACUGAACAGAGGAUGUUGUACACUGAUUACAUUUACCCUUUUCUUCCAUAGGAUCAUAGAAGUGUUCCUAUUAGGGAGAAUUCAGGCCGUCUCAAUUUCUGAAGGCUGGGAAGUCCAAGAGGAUAGCACUGGCAUCUGGCAAGGGCCUUCAUGCUGCAUCAUCCCAUGGUGGAAGGCAGAAGGGAAAAGAAUCAAUCAGAAUGAUGGACACAGCAUCUUUAUGGCCUAUCUAGUUUACUGUAGUUUUUAUGGGCUUAAGAAGAAGACCACCUUGUCUAAUCAUGAAAUUUUGAAAAAUUUAAACAUAAAAAAUAAAAUUCCUACAUUCUGGAACUUUUCAGCAAA